rnacentral:rRNA from 1 species
CCCCAUACUCCUUUUCAUUAUAAGAUGAGUCGGGAAAGUUUUUCGCUAAAGGAUUGGGCUAUAUGGUAUCAGCUUGUUGGUGAGGUAACGGCUCACCAAGGCUAUGACGCCUAACUGGUCUGAGAGGAUGAUCAGUCACACUGGAACUGAGACACGGUCCAGACUCCUACGGGAGGCAGCAGUGGGGAAUAUUACACAAUGGAGGAAACUCUGAUGUAGCAACGCCGCGUGGAGGAUGACACAUUUCGGUGCGUAAACUCCUUUUAUAUGGGAAGAUAAUGACGGUACCAUAUGAAUAAGCACCGGCUAACUCCGUGCCAGCAGCCGCGGUAAUACGGAGGGUGCAAGCGUUACUCGGAAUCACUGGGCGUAAAGCGCAUGUAGGCGGUCUUGUAAGUUGGGUGUGAAAGCCUAUGGCUCAACCAUAGAACUGCACCCAAAACUACUAGACUAGAGUCUGGGAGAGGAAAAUGGAAUUAGUUGUGUAGGGGUAAAAUCCGUAGAGAUAACUAGGAAUACCAAAAGCGAAGGCAAUUUUCUGGAACAGUACUGACGCUCAGAUGCGAAAGCGUGGGUAGCAAACAGGAUUAGAUACCCUGGUAGUCCACGCCCUAAACGAUGAAUGUUAGUCGUCGGGAGGCUCGUCCUUUCGGUGAUGCAGCUAACGCAUUAAACAUUCCGCCUGGGGAGUACGGUCGCAAGAUUAAAACUCAAAGGAAUAGACGGGGACCCGCACAAGUGGUGGAGCAUGUGGUUUAAUUCGAAGAUACGCGAAGAACCUUACCUAGCCUUGACAUUGAUAGAAUCCGAUGGAAACAUUGGAGUACCAGUUUACUGGAGCUUGAAAACAGGUGCUGCACGGCUGUCGUCAGCUCGUGUCGUGAGAUGUUGGGUUAAGUCCCGCAACGAGCGCAACCCUCGUCCUUAGUUACUAACGGUUUGGCCGAGGACUCUAAGGAGACUGCCUUCGUAAGGAGGAGGAAGGUGAGGACGACGUCAAGUCAUCAUGGCCCUUACGGCUAGGGCGACACACGUGCUACAAUGGAUAGGACAAUGAGACGCAAUACCACGAGGUGGAGCAAAUCUAUAAACCUAUUCUCAGUUCGGAUUGUAGUCUGCAACUCGACUACAUGAAGCUGGAAUCACUAGUAAUCGUAGAUCAGCCAUGCUACGGUGAAUACGUUCCCGGGUCUUGUACUCACCGCCCGUCACACCAUGGGAGUUGAUUUCACC